UCAAGAAAUUUGAGUUCUAGUCUAGGGUCUGCACGCCCCCCUCCCCCCCAGCUGAGAGACCUGAGCAAUUCACCCCGGUCUGUCUCAGCCUCAGUUCCUUGGGCUGUUGAGUGGUUUCCAAGGGCCAGCCGGGUUGCAGCGGCCCUGUGAUUUGGAGCACUCCCCUCUCUUGCCAGCCGGGCAGGCCCUAGAGCACUCCUCCCUCUCUUCUCCACUCAUCCCCGGGUUGCUUAUCCUUUCUGCCUUGCAGCCCUCCACCCGUCCCAUGCAGUGCAUCCCCUGCGGCAGGAAUGGAAUGCUGACUCCAGUAGUGGGCUCCGAGGGAAAGGUCAUCAGAGGAAUUGUCUGGUGGCAAGGCCUCUCCCUGGCGUAACAAGGAAGGGCUUCCUGAGAGAGGUAGGGGCCAUGGUCCAGAUCCAGGAGCUGGUUUUUCCAGGUCAGCAUUAACAGGAUGCUCAAGUGUGGUGUGAUGUGGACAAUCCUGGGCCUCAAAGAUCUCAACUUCACCAGCUCCCCCCUCAGCUGGGGGCCAUUAGGUGGUCCUGGGGGAGGGACUCCCGACCAAGUAAGCCCUGCUAGGCCUUCUACAUGUGUCUUCAGGACCCCUUAUUUCUAAAGAAUCCCUCAGGAGUCAUUGGGGCGGUGGGGGAGGGAUGUUCCUUAAGUGGGGCUCUAGCCUUUCUCCAGUCCACAGUUGGCUCUAAUCUGUUUUUCAUGUUGGUUUUUCUUUUGCUGUUUCCCUUCAAGAAGGGAUUUGUUGGUUAAAAAUUUAGAAUUCAAAACACCUGUCCAACUAUGAAAUUGGCUAAUAAAAACAUGAAGGGUUGUUCUGAGGAUCAGAUGAAUCAAUGCAUGGAAAGCACUUUGCAUUUAAAGACACGUGAGCUAUGAAUAUUACCACACUGGAGAAUGGAGAGCCUGAGGAGGGGAGGGCUUGCCAGCAGUCCGGAGCAAGGUGUGGCAGGGCCCUGUCCUCUGGUCCCUGUCAGAGCCGUCAGAAGUCCUCCGCAGCCUCCUCCCUGGAGCCAGAGGACCUCAGGGACUCUGCUGCCAGCUUUGUGGUGAAGACAGGAGUUUGGAUGGGUUUUCCCACGUCUGGAGCUCAUGUGCCUGCCCUGUGA
rnacentral:lncRNA from 1 species